rnacentral:tRNA from 1 species
CUGGGGUUAUGGCUCAGUGGUAGAAUGCUUGCCUAGCAUGCUUGGGGCACUGAGUUUGAUCCUCAGCACCACAGA